AUAAAUUUAACAUAAUAGUAUAAUGAUUUGAAGUGUUGUGAUUUUGCAUGCAGUAGCUUAUGAACUCCCACAAGGUGGCGCAUAGUGCUCACCGAUGGGUCUAAAAAGCAGCGGUAGAAAUGAGGAAGAAACAGGAAGUGGAAAAACAAGCAAGACGAGCGCAAGUGCGAGCGCAGCUUUUUGUGAACAGCCACAGUGAAUAUUAAUAUACUGAUUAAGUUCGAAAUUAUUGUUGUUUGAGAAGAGGUCAAAGUUGUCCGGGAUGAUGUUUUGUCGCCAGAGGAUUAAGGAGGACGACUAACUAAUGUGUUUUGAUGACUAUUCUCCGGUUGGUUUUUUUAUGGUUGACUUCUGAGAGGAGGCGACGGCGACUCGCAGUGGUUUCAGCGGGUGAGCGGCAGUCCAGUCGCUACUACAGCUUCAAGUGGAGCCACUCCGAGUAUCGGGCUACUGCAGCUUCAACUGGAUUCCAGGGACACAUCUCUGCUUGAGAAGAUGAUGAAAAGCGGAUCCAGGGUGUAGGAGGUUGUGAAGAUAUGUGAUGCAGAGUGCCACCGAAGGGCAGGUGAGCCCACCUGAACAAGUCCAAUAUGGUUCCUACCACAUUAAAGAGACAUGUUCCCUCUCUCUUUGACUCGCCUUGUUUUCCUAUCAUGCCCAUUCAUUUGAAAAGGUUCUCUCUUUUCUUCCUCCCCAGUCUCUCACUCUUUCUGUUCUUCAGCUUGUGACAGAGGAGAGGUCUGUGAUGUCUCUUCACUGAGGUUAUUGAUGUCACCUGCACUCCAUCCUUUCCUCAUCUCGACUGAACCUCUCUCUGUUGCUUCCCUCUCUGCGCCUCGCUCUCCUCUUACAGUUGGUCCAACAUUUUCCUACUCCUG
rnacentral:lncRNA from 1 species